UACAGAGGUCCCAAGCGUUGUUCGGAUUCAUUGGGCGUAAAGGGUGCGUAGGUGGCGCCGUAAGUGGGGUGUGAAAUUUCGGAGCUUAACUCCGAAACUGCAUUCCAUACUGCGGUGCUUGAGGACUGGAGAGGAGACUGGAAUUUACGGUGUAGCAGUGAAAUGCGUAGAGAUCGUAAGGAAGACCAGUGGCGAAGGCGGGUCUCUGGACAGUUACUGACACUGAGGCACGAAGGCCAGGGGAGCAAACGGG
rnacentral:rRNA from 1 species